rnacentral:rRNA from 1 species
AGUAGUUUGAUCCGUGGCUCAGGAUAAACGCUGGCGGCGCACAUAAGACAUGCAAGUCGAACGAACUUAAUCGAAAGUUUACUUUUGAAGCGGUUAGUGGCGGACUGGUGAGUAACGCGUAAGCAAUCUGCCUAUUAGAGGGGGAUAACAGUGAGAAAUCAUUGCUAAUACCGCAUAUGCUGUGAGUAUCGCAUGGUACAAACAGGAAAGGAGUAAUCCGCUAAUAGAUGAGCUUGCGUCUGAUUAGUUAGUUGGUGAGGUAACGGCCCACCAAGACGAUGAUCAGUAGCCGGACUGAGAGGUUAAACGGCCACAUUGGGACUGAGAUACGGCCCAGACUCC